rnacentral:rRNA from 1 species
AACGAACGCUGGCGGCAUGCCUAACACAUGCAAGUCGAACGAGACCUUCGGGUCUAGUGGCGCACGGGUGCGUAACGCGUGGGAACCUGCCCUUAGGUUCGGAAUAACUCCCUGAAAGGGGUGCUAAUACCGGAUAAUGUCCUCGGACCAAAGAUUUAUCGCCUUUGGAUGGGCCGGCGUUGGAUUAGCUAGUUGGUAGGGUAAAAGCCUACCAAGGCGACGAUCCAUAGCUGGUCUGAGAGGAUGAUCAGCCACACUGGGACUGAGACACGGCCCAGACUCCUACGGGAGGCAGCAGUGGGGAAUAUUGGACAAUGGGCGAAAGCCUGAUCCAGCAAUGCCGCGUGAGUGAUGAAGGCCUUAGGGUUGUAAAGCUCUUUUACCCGGGAUGAUAAUGACAGUACCGGGAGAAUAAGCACCGGCUAACUCCGUG